AUGGAUAAGAAAUGACGCUCGCGACUA
rnacentral:sRNA from 1 species